GAUGAAGAACGCAGCGAAAUGCGAUACUUGGUGUGAAUUGCAGAAUCCCGUGAACCAUCGAGUCUUUGAACGCAAGUUGCGCCCGAAGCCAUUAGGCCGAGGGCACGCCUGCCUGGGCGUCACACGUCGUUGCCCCCCCAUCUACUCCUUCGGGAUUGCGGGGGGCGGAUGAUGGCCUCCCGUGCGCCUCGUCGCGCGGUUGGCAUAAAUGCCAAGUCCUCGGCGACGCACGCCACGACAAUCGGUGGUUGCGAAACCUCGGUUGCCCGUCGUGUGCGGUCGUCGCGCAUCGAGGGCUCGAAAAAAUUGUCGGGCUCCGGCUCGGCUUUCAAUGCGACCCCAGGUCAGGCGGGGUUACCCGCUGAAUUUAAGCAUAUCAAUAAGCGGAGGA
rnacentral:misc_RNA from 1 species